UUCUUUGGUAUCAACUUUCUGCCCUCGGUCUCGUCUUAAGGCACUAAGCUCCACUGGUCUCAGACUACAUCUGGUGACACUCUGGCGGUGGAGAUCAGCUCCUAUGUGCUGCUGGCGGUUCUCUGUACCGCCUCUCACGUCUGCUAAUCUGGGCUAUGCUAACCGCACUGUCAACUGGCUUGUGACCCAGCAGAAUCCUUAUGGAGGCUUUUCCUCCACCCAGGACACUGUGGUGGCUCUUCAUGCUCCGUCUCUGCUCGCUGCUGAAGUGUUCAGCCUGGAGGGCUCCAGCACUGUUACCGUACAGUCGUCGUCUGUGGCAGGGGGGGUUUAAAACUUCGAUGUGAAUCGAGA